GUUGCGACAGCCUUGCCAAUCCUUCAAUUACUGCGUUUCUUUCAUGAGAAAUUGUUAUUAGAAUGCACUCAGCCUUUUAGGGAGCCGUGAAUGUGGUUAUAAUUGCUUGUUUCUGAGAUAAUUGGCCGGACAGCAGAGCCCUGGAAGAGUUACUUGAACAAACGGAACAAGGGCACCAGCCUGGGCUGCACUGAGCCUCACUCUGUUGGCUGCAAGGACGCAGAGGACCCACGGUGGACACAGGAAACACCACUGGGAAGUCCUCUGAACAAGAGCACUUCAGAGUGUGAGGACCACUUGGGCUCCGAUACUUCCUUGAGGAGGGAACCUGAACUACAUGAGCUUUUGACUUACGCUUCCCAGAAUGGAAAACAAUGAAAGCAGAUUUUUAUGCUGGAGGCUGAAAGAAAAAAGUAACACACCUCAGAUUGGAUUAUUUCCCAGCUUAUGGAAAACAACGUCUUCUGGCUUUAAAACAACAAACCGCCUGGGUUUGCACUUGGUCUGGGGAUCUGUGGCAGCCUGGGUUUAUUUCUAAUGCAUCCUCUACUUGAAUAAGUUGUGAUUAUUUAUCGUCUAUUCUGUCCCUUCAAAUAACUUCCAUCGAAGGUUCUUUUUUUUAAAAAAAAAAA
rnacentral:lncRNA from 1 species